UUGAGUAGAGAAGAUGUCUUGUUGCUGGGGACAGAAUGGGCUGUAGCCAAGUGGGAAUGGAGGGAGGAAGACGGGUGAGGAGGAGACUCUGGUGGCCAAGGGAGGAGAGGUCAGGACAUAGCAGAAUGACCCUGGAUGUGGAGAGUUGAAAGUUGGCAGCCGGCUCGAGAGUCUGGCUGGUGGAUUGAGAGGAAUUAAUGAUGCCUUUGGAGGCCUUGGAUGCAGCAGUUUGAGCUGUCACUCUCUGGGGCAGCAUUGUCAUCUAGAGAAAAGAUCUAUGUGAUCAUGAGAAAUAUCACAAUGGAGAAAAGAUAAACUUGGAAACUGACAUUUUAAUGGAUGCCUCAAACCAGUGAGUUCAGAAAGAUCUCAUGGAAAAAUUUUUAUAUGAAUGUAAUUGAUGUUGUGUGAACUCCAUGGAAACCAACUCCAUUUGUUCUAAAGUGGCCUAAAGUAUGUAUUAUAGUCCACUUUAUUCUAGCACUGUGCUUCUGCAUGUAAAUAUGACUUGCCUGAACAUACAUUCAUUGUGACCACAACCAUUGACCUUAUGGACAUGCCUGUAGAUAUGUACUUGUAAUUUAUCUGGAAAACACCGGGAAGGUCUAGUGAGGCCACACAGAAGAUAUUAACGAUUCAAAGGGAGAAACAGAUAUAACAGAAUAUAUGGAGGGAGAAGGAGAGAAACAAACACCUUUUCACUUUGUUCCUCCAGUCUAUACAUCAGUGGAAAAGUCCUGACUUGAAUGGUUCUCUUUCUGAGCAGAAAAUUAUAUGUUACAUUUGGAAAAAUUUGGCAGAAAUCAUGCCAUGAAAUUAACAAAAUAUGAACAGCCCUGACUAAAGCAGAAUCCAGAAGCUCUUCAGGCAAUAUUCAAGUAAGAAUUCUACCCAUCUCAAUAUACUGUCAACAGGCCUUGAGAGAUGUUUUUUUAAUGUAAGUGUGGCAUUUCUGUCUCUCCUUUUAUUCUAGAAAG